UUCUGGAAAAUAACUAUCAGGUUGCUUGUUUUACAGGAUAUGGUUUCUGACUAAGAGGAUCUCCAGGAUUGCAGUGAUGAUUAGAUGAACGAAGAAGUUGUUUAUCACAUGUUAAAUACUUAUAAUUAAUAAAGGACAUAAUUACACUGACUUGUUAUAUUGUGUUGCAAUUGUUUUUGCAAUAGGCUUUACAGUUAACAUACCCUGGAUACAAUUUUACUUUUAAUAGAUUAACUGCUAUUGAAAGAUGAAACCCUUUAUCAGGGUGUAUAUUUUAACAAAUUUACUUUGGGCUAGUAAUUUUGCUGCUGGGCUACUUGUCUUUACCAUUCCAGUAGCCCGAAUGGCUAGUGGAUAAAAUGAACUAUCGUGAAGACUGAAAUAAUAUUAUUAGGUUAACUGCUAUUUUAUUAUUUGAGAACUUUGUCAAAUAUUGAAGUUGAUUAAUUAGUUUCAUUUAAUUCUUAGAAUUUUACAUUAUGACAAUUACUUAUUUAUUCAUGUUAGAUGGGAUAAUUAAUUUAAUAAAAUAUUAUGGUUUAAUUGAUAAGAAAACCUUAAUUAAAGAAAGGAAAUUUAAUCUGGUUGGAAGCGUGCUAUUAAUGGGUAUUACAAUCAAGCAACAACAACAUCAACAACAUAACCUUUAUUAAGCUCAAAUCACAAAUAUAGUGACACAUGAGUAUACAGUGACAAUGCAUCUUUUACAAAGAGUUAUUAACAAUUGUGACAUGGUGUUAAACUUUACAUAGAAAAUAGAAAAGAGAAAGAGAAGUGGAGAUGAAAAAAGAUAUGAGACAUACAUUUGAAUUGAGUGGGGGAAUGAUGAUGUUGACCUGAGAAAUAAACAUUUUUUAUUCCUUUGGCCUGAAUAACCUGUUUGUUUACAUGGAUUACUUAUGCAGACUAUAGUUAUGGUUUUUCCAUUCGGUUCUAUUUAAAACCCGGUGAAUUUGAUUGGUUAAUUUAUUUUUGUCUGCAGCGCUUCGCUGAUCUGUGUGUAAACCCUGGAAUUAGGUCAGAAAUGUGCGUAUUGUUUGUGUUUUCACUGUUUCCUCUGUAGAAUAAUCGUGGAGAGUGUUUCAUUUAUAGAUCGCAUAUUAACUAAACUUUCAAAAGUGACGUAUAGAUUUACAUUUUGUAGACCGAAAUUGUCUGUUAAUGUAAUUCUACUUGGGAUUAAUUGGUGUGUUUAAAUUAAGUAAUGAUCAAAUGUGAAGUGACCCAUUCAUGUGACAUUGACCGAUGUUGUGUCAGGCCAGAUUAACCAUGCCCAUGUUUGUCCUGUGUCAGUGACCAUGUGAUUCUUUGGCCAUGCCCAGGAGGGAGUGACUGAGUUAUGGGGUGCAGAAGAAGCACAAGCCAUCUCGACAUGAUGAAUCAUCCCCAACAGCGCUUGAGGAUGGUUUCUUGUUCGAUGAGGAUGAAUCCAUAACUGAGAAUUGAGGAUGAUACUUCUCUCAACACUGCAUUGUAUGAAGACAAAGCAACUCAGUGUGGUUAGUCAUCGUCAACAACAGAACCAGAAUCAGCUGACGUUGGAGACUGUCAAGUUGAGAUCACUGUGCCUAUCAGGGUUGAGUGUUACAUACUGAACGAAGUGAUCCAAAGCAAUUUAUUGUCAAUACGCACGCUAGAGACCUGGACAUUCGCUUUUUACAUUCAGAUCAAAGCAUGGCAAAACAUAUUUAAGGAUGAAAGUAUGUGUUAAUGAAGCAGGACACACUACUGAAUAUGUUCAUGGUUAGGAAGUUGCCCAGAACCAUUUUUUGUGGGAACAAAUUUCUAGUGAUUAUCUUUUUGCCCUUUAGCUCACCUGAGCACAAUGUGCUAAUGGUGAGCUUUUUUGAUCGCCUUUUGGCAGUCGUGGAGUGCGUGUUGUGUGGCGUCAACAUUUGCCUUGUAAACAAUCUUGAGGCCACAUUAAUUGUCCAAACUUCAUGAAAUUUGGUCAGAACAUUUUUCCAAAUGAAAUCUUGGACAAGUUAAAAAAUUGUUCCGGUUUAUUGUCCGUCAUCAUGAAACUUGUUCAGAAGAUUUGUCAAAAUGAUAUCUUGGGCAAGUUCAAAAAUGGUUCCGGUUGGUUCAAAAACAUGGGCACCAGGGGGUGGGGCAUUUUUCCUUAUAUGUCUAUAUAUAGCUA